rnacentral:misc_RNA from 1 species
GAUGAAGAACGUAGCGAAAUGCGAUAAGUAAUGUGAAUUGCAGAAUUCGGUGAAUCAUCGAAUCUUUGAACGCACAUUGCGCCCGCUAGUAUUCUGGCGGGCAUGCCUGUCCGAGCGUCAUUUCAACCCUCAAGCCCCCGGGCUUGGUGUUGGGGAUCGGCGAGCCUCCGCGCCCGCCGUCCCCUAAAUCUAGUGGCGGUCUCGCUGUAGCUUCCUCUGCGUAGUAGCACACCUCGCACUGGGAAACAGCGCGGCCACGCCGUUAAACCCCCAACUUCUGAACGUUUGACCUCGGAUCAGGUAGGAAUACCCGCUGAACUUAAGCAUAUCAAUAAGCGGAGGA